rnacentral:rRNA from 1 species
AUUGAACGCUGGCGGCAGGCCUCACACAUGCACGUCGAGCGAGCGGCGGACGGGUGAGUCAUGUCUGGGAAACUGCCUGAUGGAGUGGGAUAACUACUGGAACCGGUAGCUAAUACCGCAUACCAUCAGAUGUGCCCAGAUGGGAUUAGCUAUGAGGUGGGGUAACGGCUCACCUAGGCGACGAUCCCUAGCUGUUCUGAGAGGAUGACCAGCCAAACGGGAACGGAGACACGGUCCAGAUUCCUACGGGAGGCAGCAGGGGGGAAUAUUGCACAAUGGGUGCAAGCCUGAGGCAGCCAUGCCGCGUGUAUGAAGAAGGCCUGCGGGUUGUAAAGUACUUUCAGCGGGGAGGCGUUACCCGCAGAAGAAGCACCGGCUAACUCCGUGCCAGCAGCCGCGGUAAUUC